AACGAACGCUGGCGGCAUGCCUAACACAUGCAAGUCGAACGAGCCCUUCGGGGCUAGUGGCGCACGGGUGCGUAACGCGUGGGAAUCUGCCUUUAGGUUCGGGAUAACUCAGGGAAACUUGAGCUAAUACCGGAUGAUGACUUCGGUCCAAAGAUUUAUCGCCUAGAGAUGAGCCCGCGUCGGAUUAGCUAGUUGGUAGGGUAAAAGCCUACCAAGGCGACGAUCCGUAGCUGGUCUGAGAGGAUGAUCAGCCACACUGGGACUGAGACACGGCCCAGACUCCUACGGGAGGCAGCAGUGGGGAAUAUCGGACAAUGGGCGAAAGCCUGAUCCAGCAAUGCCGCGUGAGUGAUGAAGGCCUUAGGGUUGUAAAGCUCUUUUACCCGGGAUGAUAAUGACAGUACCGGGAGAAUAAGCCCCGGCUAACUCCGUGCCAGCCGCCGCAGUAACAC
rnacentral:rRNA from 1 species